GGGAAACGGGAGCAGGGGCCCGCCCCGGGCCCCGGAAGCCAAAGUGUAUGGGGCA
rnacentral:ncRNA from 1 species